CUGGCAGACUGCACACAGACAGUUUGUGUGUUUGCUGAUGUUUGUUGAGUUGAUAGAAACAUCUGAAUCUGAAAGUGCCACGGCCACAACUUAUGGACACCUGGACCCCUUCAGGGCCUACUUUAACCCCCAAGUAUAAACGCUAUAAGUGAUACCGUGUAACCUAACGUAACAAGUCUGUUAAAGAAGCAGAAGGUACAGAUAUCUGUGAAAAAUGUAGGAAAUAAAAGUAAAAAGUUUUCAGAAAAAUAAAUACUCAAUUAAAGUGCUGAUACAUCAAAAUUCUACAUAAGUCCACCUCUGUAAGGGGGCCCAGAAAUGUUUCCUGGUUGGUUUGUACCAACAGAUUGCCAUGUUGGCCUGAAAUCUUACAUGAACACAUUUCAGAACCACAUGAUGUCAGCUUUUUUGGAUAAAGCAGAAUUAGAAAAUCCUGAUUUGUCUUUUGCAGAUGCUACUUUCCUAACAGGUUAUCACACAAACACAUUUCUCUAAAUCCCCUUUAACCUCCGUGAAAUACUCAGAAUCCAAUCCCUGUAUACUAUACGUGGCAUUUGCAACUCAUUUUUUUUUUUUUGUCUCAUUCAUUUGUUCCUCCUGCUGUAUUGAGCUGCCUCUGCUGAAAUAGCCAUUGUCAUGCACUGCCAUCUGCUGGUUAAAUUUCUGAGCUACAGGUGCCAACAUCUUUGUGGUUGGUCAGACGAUGCUUCAUUAUCACCCAGACAAUAUUUUAUCAGACAGAAUGAUGUCACAGCUCUACAGAGAAAUUCACUGAAUUCAGCUUGUGCACUGGGAGCCAAACUAAAGGGAAAUAUGGGAAAUACAUGCGUGUAUUGACUGCAUGUAAAGAAUAGGUAAGUAAAGGUUGUCCUGGAAUUUGCAUGUUAUCCUAAUUUAUUGCAGUGGUUAUGAAUACAUAUGACAACAGUGUUAUUACCAAGGGAAUUCAUAUGAUGAAAAAAAUAUUUUGGUCAAAUGGUCAUUUUUAUCCACAAAAAAAGUGCAAUUUUUUUGUUUCUCUCUCCUGCAGCUGUUCGCAUGUCGAGGAAACUGUGCUUUCACCAGAGAAGUCUCAAAUGUCCCAGGAAUGGGUGGACCAAAG
rnacentral:lncRNA from 1 species